rnacentral:misc_RNA from 1 species
AAGUCGUAACAAGGUUUCCGUAGGUGAACCUGCGGAAGGAUCAUUAAAGUGUUCCUGCCCUCACGGGUAGAAACCCCACCCUUGUGUAUAUUAUGUUUGUUGCUUUGACAGGCCGCCUUCGGGCGGUGGCUUCGGCUGUGCUGUGCCUGUCAGAGGACCCCCAACUCUGAAUGUUUGUGUCGUCUGAGUACUAUAUAAUAGUUAAAACUUUCAACAACGGAUCUCUUGGUUCUG